rnacentral:rRNA from 1 species
UAGCAAUAUUAAUAAGGCUAGACCGGCGCACGGGUGCGUAACACGUAUGCAACCUACCUCAUACUGGGGAAUAACUUCGAGAAAUCGGCGCUAAUACCCCAUAACAUUGCGAAAUGGCAUCAUUUUGCAAUUAAAGCUCCGGCGGUAUAAGAUGGGCAUGCGUCCAAUUAGCUAGUUGGUGAGGUAACUGCUCACCAAGGCUACGAUUGGUAGGGGUUCUGAGAGGAUGAUCCCCCACACUGGUACUGAGACACGGACCAGACUCCUACGAGAGGCAGCAGUGAGGAAUAUUGCGCAAUGGACGAAAGUCUGACGCAGCCAUGCCGCGUGCAGGAUGACGGCCCUAUGGGUUGUAAACUGCUUUUGUAUGGGAAUAAACCCUUCUACGUGUAGAAGGCUGAAGGUACCAUAAGAAUAAGCACCGGCUAACUCCGUGCCAGCAGCCGCGGUAAUACGGAGGGUGCAAGCGUUAUCCGGAUUUAUUGGGUUUAAAGGGUCCGU